GGAUUAAUUUAUUGGUCGUGCUAUUAUACGUACUGGUAUUAUUGAUUCCUACCUUCUGACGAACCAUGAUGUCAUUAAUUUUGUGUCUUGGGGAAUUUGGACUGUUACUUUGAAAAAAUUAGAGUGUUUAAAGCAAGCUAACGCUUGAAUACAUUAGCAUGGAAUAAUGAAAUAGGACGUUCGAUCCUAUUUUGUUGGUUUCUAGGAUUGACGUA
rnacentral:rRNA from 1 species